GACAGAUCUAGGCCCGAGCAGAUGUAAACCCAGUUUGUGCCUAGUUCCUUCAGUUUUCAUCGGCAGUAUUUACAGAAAGACUGCAAAAGGCACCAAAGAAGCAAAAUUAUCGCAAAGACAUGUUCCCGAACAAUUUCCCUCCCAAUGGGUAUCCAGGAGGGUUCGACCCAUCCCAGCAGCCACACGCUCAGCCCCCACUAGUGUACCACUUCCGUGGUCUCCACAUCGAUGACUCUGGGCCGCACAGGUUAGGUAGAAGUGCCUUUGUCAUGCGCAGACAACCACAACGUGAUAACAGGGUUCAGCAAUACAACCCACCGCCUAACUGGGAACGGCGGAUGGUUUCAGGAAACCGAUCUCCUCGGCUGUUACGAGACAACGAACGUCUCUGCUUCAUUUGUGGGGAAGUGCUUCAAAAUUCUGUGGAACCAGGGGUCCACCUUUGCCCUGGCCCAAGAAACACACGCCCGAAUCAAAGCAACCAAUCUCGGGCAAGUUCCCCGCGAGAAGAUCUUGAUGUGCGCCACCUGGCGGAGAUGCUGGAGAGUCUCCGAAAGGCGCUUAAGAACACUGCGGCCAUCCAGACCUUGGGCUCUUGUGUCAAGAACCUUGAUGUACACACUAAAACUAUAGAUAAGGAGCUGGAGAAGCUCCAGAAGGACUACUGCAACCAAACUGACCUGACAUCUCGGAGAAUCCACCGUUGUAUGGUGACGGUGAGACAGAACAUGGCGGCCUGGAGGGUUCUGGUGCAGAAAGCGGCCGAAGAGACACAGAGACGAGAGGCCCUCGCCGGCGAGAAGGACAAGAGCCUGUGUCUCAGGGAGAAAGAGAUUCAGCAAGAAAAACUGGACAGUGAGGCAGAAAUAAAACGUCAGAUGCAGGAAUUGGAGGACGAGAAGCAGAGGCUAUCAGAACUGCACGAAACACAAAAGGUAUACGACCUACGUUUGUUUUCAAAGAUGACUUUGCAAAUCGGCUACAGUGAAUUAUUGUCCAAACUCAUACUACAGUAUGCAACAGGUGUGUUGGACUGUAACUCACAGUACAUACAAAAUCUAGGAUAUAAAAGGAUGAAGAGAAAACACGUUACGUGGACGUCAUUUAGUCUUGACAAGGACAGAUGUUGGCUUUCGGUUCGGAGAUAUGUUGAUAAAAAUAUGUUAUGUGGGCUUUCGGCUGGGAAGUAGUGUUCAAUGACGAGCGCGUAUAUAUAGGGCACAAAUCGUAAUCCAAAUGAUGUUCUACGUCUUAAAAUGUGUUAAGUGAAACAAAACUGCAGCCUGUAAAUAACUCCCUUAGAACUUCACCGUCAUGGUACACAGCAUAAGAACUUUGGGACGUAAUUUUGUCAUUUUGUUGGGAUUAUAUAAAUGCUAACUGUACAUGGUAACUUCGUUGGAAUAUGAUUUCUUUUACUCAGUCCAUUUGCGUUUUCCUCUAAACUAUGAAAUAUCGUACACGGAAAUGGUGGGAUGGUAGAACUGGUAUAGUUAACUAUACAAAUAUAUAGUCCAAGGUAAGGCAGGUAAGUAUAGUCUUUUAACCGUUCUGAAUUAUCAAAGUAUCAAUUAGGAUCACUUUUACACAAAAUAAUCAAAGAGCACUGGCAUAUUUCUGAAUAACGCUAUAAAGGGUUUCCACAAAUUGUAAAAGUGUUUUUUUUCCUUUGUGCAAAUUUGGGCAUUAAAAAUUAAUUUAGCAAACCACACUCACACAAGCUUAGGUGUCGCGCCUGUAAAAGCUGUUGCUACUUGGUCAGAUACCAUCCAUACAUACUUAUUUCAAGUCUCCUGAGUUCAAAUCACAUGAUAUUCACAUAAAGGAUACAUUAAUUAAUCUCGCUUUUCGAGAGCUGAUGGAAAACUAGGAUUCCGUUGGUGACUCUGUACAGACCGCAGUAGCAAUAGCCGGUUGAAUGGACCGUACAGCCGCGAAUCAAACAGGGCAGUGUGUGAAUGAGCUGUUUUAAUGUUUCCAACCACUUUUCUCCAAAGAGCCAGUUUUUGAAAGAUUUCAAGUAAGGAUUUAUCGAGACUUCCUCUGCCACUGAUGGGAAAAAUAAGGCCUUUUCCACUUCGACUUAGUUUAUUGUGACACAAAACAUUAAAUCGAGUCUAAACUCCAUAACAUCUUGAAAAACCUUUAUUCACAACUAGCUCUAUGAGGCUAUAUGCAGAGACUGUUUACGGUUGUUUUACGAAAUAUAAACCUAUUGGGCACAAUCAUAGGUUUCCAGCCGAUGGUACAUGUACUUCAUGUAAGUCCAAAAAAGUAUUAGAGUCAAAUACGACCCAUGGACUAUAGAAAUUAUGUUUCGUUCUGUGUCAGGGUGGGGGAGCUUGAUGGCAUCCGAUUCCGUAUUAGCUGAGACCGUACAAUACAGAGUCUUUCAAGAUCGUACGGAAAUCGUAGAGUAGGAGAAGGAAAGGCCUGGCCGUGUCAGUGGAGGAGUUGAUGUAAAAUUAGAACUGUUCUACAUGUAAUUGAUGCUGUCACUUAACUAUGUUUACGUUGGUAGGAUACAGGAGGAGGGUAACAAUUGUUAAACCCAUAUAAUUGCCCAUAAGUCAACAUUGACCCUGUCACCAUGUUAGGGCAAUAGACUUCCGUGGAGACGACGAAGAAUCCGCUAGCUUACAACAACAGAGGCAGUUUAAUUGCCAGAUGUCACCGGGCUUUUGUAUGGUGGAAGGGUCGUAUCAAGCUAGACGUGGGUGGAAAGAUCUUUACCACUUCCUUAUCCACUCUAACCAAAGACCCGGACUCGAUGUUGGCUGCCAUGUUUAGUGGGCGUCACGAGAUCGUGAAAGAACGAGAUGGCUGUGUGUU